rnacentral:tRNA from 1 species
GGUGGCUCAGUGGUAGAGCACUUGCCUUGCACGCUUGAGACCCUGGGUUCAAUUCCUCAGCACCA